ensembl:lncRNA
AAGAAGCCGUGGUUUGCAGUGAAUUUAUAACAGCUAAGGAGCUAAGCAGAGUGACUAAAACCCUCUUAAGCUGUUAUAAAUUCAGUGUAAACCACGGCUUCACGGGGCUUAUUGCUUUUAUAAAACGGUUAUUCCAAAUACGUAGUAAGGUUUCACAAAAUAAAACAGAGCAAAUAAAGUGUAAUGAUAUUAAUAUAAAAAGUAUUCUUCCACCAAACAAUGUAGUUCCUCAGAAACAGUUGUGGGUGCAACAAAGUGGUUGCUGAGCAACACACAAACAUAAACAAAGGUGUAUGUUACUUUGUAGAGUCAUUUACAACAGCUUUGAACGCGGCUCAUCCAAUCAGAAUCAAGGACAGAACUAUCUGUUUUAUAAUAAUCACCUGUCGUUUGACAGACUCGGGGAGUUUCUUCUCCAGCAGGCUCUUCACCAGCGCUUUCCCGUCUCUGGCCUCCUCCUCCUCUCCGGCCUCCACCGCCUUCUCCUCGGCUCCCGUCAGCCCCUCUUUGGCGCCGUCGUCCCUGCGCUCCCCGAACACGCCGGGCUCGAUGAGCAGCAGGAUCUUGUGCACGUCGCGGCUGGUCAGGACUCCCAUGGUGAGCAGAGCGCUGAUGAGCCGCAGGAUCGGCACGAACUGGAACUCCACGCUUCCGCCCACGGGGUCACGGAUGUGGUCUCCUCCGCCCUGCACGGCCUCCGUCAGCAUGCCGAUGGCCCUCUCCUUCAGCACGUCCAGCGGGAUCUCCGGGCUGAAGAGGUGCUGCUCGCGCUUGCUGCUGAUGAAGCAGGGCGGGCCGAAGCUGAGUCUGGGUUUGAGGCACGUGCUGAGCCCGACGCCUGGAGGCCGGUGCUGCUUGGAGGCGUCGGGGAAGAGGCGGAUGCUGCGCGUCUCGGCCGUGAUGGGGAUGAUGAACUCGCUGCUCAUCAUGCGGCGGGCGGCUCUGGCCGUCUCCAGGUGCACGCUGAUGAGGACGUCGUAAAAGCCCUCGCGCAGCAGCCCCGACAGGUGUGUACCGGUUCUCCUCAGGGAUGUGUACAGCCAGCAUCUGCAGCGCUUCCACACACUGCACCAUCCAUCCGUGUCUCUCGCUGA